GAGGAAAGAGGGAGGAGUGUUUAAUACAUGCAAGUCGAGCGAACAGACGAGGAGCUUGCUCCUCUGACGUUAGCGGCGGACGGGUGAGUAACACGUGGAUAACCUACCUAUAAGACUGGGAUAACUUCGGGAAACCGGAGCUAAUACCGGAUAAUAUAUUGAACCGCAUGGUUCAAUAGUGAAAGACGGUUUUGCUGUCACUUAUAGAUGGAUCCGCGCCGCAUUAGCUAGUUGGUAAGGUAACGGCUUACCAAGGCAACGAUGCGUAGCCGACCUGAGAGGGUGAUCGGCUACACUGGAACUGAGACACGGUCCAGACUCCUACGGGAGGCAGCAGUAGGGAAUCUUCCGCAAUGGGCGAAAGCUUGACGGAGCAACGCCGCGUGAGUGAUGAAGGUCUUCGGAUCGUAAAACUCUGUUAUUAGGGAAGAACAAAUGUGUAAGUAACUAUGCACGUCUUGACGGUACCUAAUCAGAAAGCCACGGCUAACUACGUG
rnacentral:rRNA from 1 species